rnacentral:rRNA from 1 species
GAUGAACGCUGGCGGCGUGCCCAAUACAUGCAAGUCGAGCGAACAGACGAGGAGCUUGCUCCUCUGACGUUAGCGGCGGACGGGUGAGUAACACGUGGAUAACCUACCUAUAAGACUGGGAUAACUUCGGGAAACCGGAGCUAAUACCGGAUAAUAUAUUGAACCGCAUGGUUCAAUAGUGAAAGACGGUUUUGCUGUCACUUAUAGAUGGAUCCGCGCCGCAUUAGCUAGUUGGUAAGGUAACGGCUUACCAAGGCAACGAUGCGUAGCCGACCUGAGAGGGUGAUCGGCCACACUGGAACUGAGACACGGUCCAGACUCCUACGGGAGGCAGCAGUAGGGAAUCUGCCGCAAUGGGCGAAAGCCUGACGGAGCAACGCCGCGUGAGUGAUGAAGGUCUUCGGAUCGUAAAACUCUGUUAUUAGGGAAGAACAAAUGUGUAAGUAACUAUGCACGUCUUGACGGUACCUAAUCAGAAAGCCACGGCUAACUACGUG